AUUGACAUCGGAUCANGUGAGGAUACCCGCUGAAUUUAAGCAUAUCAAUAAGCGGAGGA
rnacentral:rRNA from 1 species